UCCGAGUUGACCCCGGCAGUCUCCUAUGAGUCCCCACCAUCACGUGCUGGCAACAUAGGACGAGGGCUGCGCUCGUUGCGGGACUUAACCCAACAUCUCACGACGCGAGCUGACGACAGCCAUGCACCACCUGUACACGACCCAAAAGGACCCCGCAUCUCUACGGGUACACCGUGUAUGUCAAACCCAGGUAAGGUUCUUCGCGUCGCAUCGAAUUAAUCCGCAUGCUCCGCCGCUUGUGCGGGCCCCCGUCAAUUCCUUUGAGUUUUAGCCUUGCGGCCGUACUCCCCAGGCGGGGCGCUUAAUGCGUUAGCUGCGGCACGGAGGACAAUGAAGCCCCCCACACCUAGCGCCCAACGUUUACAGCGUGGACUAC
rnacentral:misc_RNA from 1 species